GUUAUAUGAGUUUUGUAAUGCUUUAUCUCUGUAUGGAGGACCGAACUUUUAGGCCCCUAGUUAACAUGCGCUCCAGGAGAUUAGUUACCGUCCUCCCUUGUCACACACACACUGACACUCACUGUAUCCCCACGUACUUAACACACUCACUUACUUCCAACAUAUCAUGCAGGCCAGCAGGAAGAGGAUGAGCCACAAAGGAGGCAGAUAAGGAGGAGGAAAGAGAAAAGAAAGAAGAGUCGAAUUAGGAUGAAGAUACGCAGCAUUAACCCGACAAACCUGUCCACACAGAGUCUCACUUGUGAGUCCGGGGAGAGAGGAGAGAGCGCUGAAUGAGUCAAUUAAGCUCCAGCACAUUUCUGAAUGAUCAGAUGUUUUCACAUGUGGAGAUGAAAACUUGUCUCUGCAUGAAAUAACCACUGAGGAUUAUCUAGAGGCCGGUUUUAAAAGCAGAUCUUGUCACUUGCACUGCACUCUGCUGUGAGAUGGAGUUCUUACCUUGCAGGAGGGUGUUCGACCUAACUGACCGGUGCAGAGAAGAGUUAGGAGCCCAGAGCCUCAGCCUCUCGUCCACAUGUCUGCUUUGUUGUCGCAGGACACAACUGGGCCUGAAACUGUUCAGGAACAAUGACCUCAGCAGCCUGCAUCCCCCGGACGUUCACACACCAUUAAGGAGAAUUAUUGGUGUGGGUCACUUGCUUACCGGGCUCCUGUUUCUGACCCCAAACCCGGACUCACUGCUCUCCCCUAAGAGACAGGACUUGGCUUUAUAAGAGGCAUCCCUCUCUCACUUUUACUCUUUCCCCCUCUCCCCCCCCCCCCCCCCCCCCCUCUCUCUCUCUCUCCCUCACUUCUGAAUUCCUGUUGUGUCCCGCUCACGUCUGGGUAAUUGCUGUAAUAACUGAUCGCCACUCCCUCCAGUCUCAAUUCACUUUCAGGAUAAUAAAAGUGACCACAAAGGCAUCAUAUUGGAGCCUCUGCAGAAUUUUGCCUCAAAGAGCCGGUGGGGGGGAGGUGUUUAAUAUUUUACGUUUUAUUUUUCAAACAUGUUUUGCUGCAUUUGUUGUUGCAUCACUCCUUCACUGAGUCCAAAGGAAGCAACACACGCACACACGCACAUGUUUGGGGGCCUCACAUGCACAUUGUCCACAAACUGCCGCAACAAACUACCCCCUGCAGCACACACAAACACACAAACACUCUUUUAGGGGGCACCACAGAGCCCUCUAUUCAUUGCGCCUGUGCCCGGCCUUUGCUGUUUCCAAGCGCGUCUGCACGGAGCGUCCUGUGAAGCUCAAACACAUGAAGAGGGACAUCCGUGAGGUGAAUACCGCCCCUCAUUCUGCCUCAGGAGAGGGUGACAAAGCAUUAUUUAACUGAAAGAGGAAGAAGUGGAUGGAGUCGAUGAGGGCCAAUGGUCAAACGUGCUAAAGAGUCCCUGGAACUCCAUCCUCAGAACUGGAGCUCUUGAUCAAUAGCACUUCUGUGAGAGGCUGUGAAGAUGGUCGUCGAUAUGGACGAGCCAUGCAUCAGGGGCCCCAGCAAAGUCAAGCCGACCAAUCAGCGAAGAGAGAG